CUGGCGGCACUAGCGCGGUGGUCCCACCUGACCCCAUGCCGAACUCAGAAGUGAAACGCCGUAGCGCCGAUGGUAGUGUGGGGUCUCCCCAUGCGAGAGUAGGGAACUGCCAGAC
rnacentral:rRNA from 1 species